AGAGUUUGAUCCUGGCUCAGGACGAACGCUGGCGGCGUGCCUAAUACAUGCAAGUAGAACGCAGAGGUCAGGUGCUUGCACUAGACUGAUGAGUUGCGAACGGGUGAGUAACGCGUAGGUAACCUACCUGAUAGCGGGGGAUAACUAUUGGAAACGAUAGCUAAUACCGCAUAAAAGCCAAUGACCCAUGUCAUUGGCUUGAAAGAAGCAAACGCUUCACUAUGAGAUGGACCUGCGUUGUAUUAGCUAGUUGGUAGGGUAAAGGCCUACCAAGGCGACGAUACAUAGCCGACCUGAGAGGGUGAACGGCCACACUGGGACUGGGACACGGCCCAGACUCCUACGGGAGGCAGCAGUAGGGAAUCUUCGGCAAUGGGGGGAACCCUGACCGAGCAACGCCGCGUGAGUGAAGAAGGUUUUCGGAUCGUAAAGCUCUGUUGUUAGAGAAGAACAGUGAUGGGAGUGGAAAGUCCAUCAUUUGACGGUAACUAACCAGAAAGGGACGGCUAACUACGUGCCAGCAGCCGCGGUAAUACGUAGGUCCCGAGCGUUGUCCGGAUUUAUUGGGCGUAAAGCGAGCGCAGGCGGUUUAAUAAGUCUGAAGUUAAAGGCAGUGGCUUAACCAUUGUAUGCUUUGGAAACUGUUAAACUUGAGUGCAGAAGGGGAGAGUGGAAUUCCAUGUGUAGCGGUGAAAUGCGUAGAUAUAUGGAGGAACACCGGUGGCGAAAGCGGCUCUCUGGUCUGUAACUGACGCUGAGGCUCGAAAGCGUGGGGAGCAAACAGGAUUAGAUACCCUGGUAGUCCACGCCGUAAACGCUGAGUGCUAGGUGUUAGGCCCUUUCCGGGGCUUAGUGCCGUAGCUAACGCAUUAAGCACUCCGCCUGGGGAGUACGACCGCAAGGUUGAAACUCAAAGGAAUUGACGGGGGCCCGCACAAGCGGUGGAGCAUGUGGUUUAAUUCGAAGCAACGCGAAGAACCUUACCAGGUCUUGACAUCCCGAUGCUAUUCUUAGAGAUAAGAAGUUACUUCGGUACAUCGGGUGACAGGU
rnacentral:rRNA from 1 species